rnacentral:rRNA from 1 species
AUGAACGCUGGCGGCGUGCCUAAUACAUGCAAGUCGAGCGAACAGACGAGGAGCUUGCUCCUCUGACGUUAGCGGCGGACGGGUGAGUAACACGUGGAUAACCUACCUAUAAGACUGGGAUAACUUCGGGAAACCGGAGCUAAUACCGGAUAAUAUAUUGAACCGCAUGGUUCAAUAGUGAAAGACGGUUUUGCUGUCACUUAUUGAUGGAUCCGCGCCGCAUUAGCUAGUUGGUAAGGUAACGGCUUACCAAGGCAACGAUGCGUAGCCGACCUGAGAGGGUGAUCGGCCACACUGGAACUGAGACACGGUCCAGACUCCUACGGGAGGCAGCAGUAGGGAAUCUUCCGCACUGGGCGAAAGCCUGACGGAGCAACGCCGCGUGAGUGAUGAAGGUCUUCGGAUCGUAAAACUCUGUUAUUAGGGAAGAACAAAUGUGUAAGUAACUAUGCACGUCUUGACGGUACCUAAUCAGAAAGCCACGGCUAACUACGUG